AUCACCGAAGCUAAGCAGCAUCGGGCUCCGUCAGUACUUGGGGGGGAGACCACCUGGGAACACGGAGUGCGGAUGGCA
rnacentral:rRNA from 1 species